rnacentral:rRNA from 1 species
AGAGUUUGAUCCUGGCUCAGAAUCAACGCUGGCGGCGCGCUUAACACAUGCAAGUCGAGCGAGAAAGUGGAGCAAUCCAUGAGUAAAGCGGCGUACGGGUGAGUAACACGUGGAUGAUCUACCUUUUAGUGGGGGAUAACCCUGGGAAACCGGGGCUAAUACCGCAUAAGCCUGUAAAGGGAAAGCAGCAAUGCGCUGAAAGAGGAGUCCGCGGCCGAUUAGCUAGUUGGUGAGGUAACGGCCCACCAAGGCGAUGAUCGGUAGCCGGCCUGAGAGGGCACACGGCCACACUGGCACUGAAACACGGGCCAGACUCCUACGGGAGGCAGCAGUGGGGAAUCUUGCACAAUGGGGGCAACCCUGAUGCAGCGACGCCGCGUGAGCGAUGAAGCCCUUCGGGGUGUAAAGCUCUUUCGGCAGGGACGAUAAUGACGGUACCUGAAGAAGAAGCUGCGGCUAACUACGUGCCAGCAGCCGCGGUAAUACGUAGGCAGCGAGCGUUGUUCGGAAUUACUGGGCGUAAAGAGUGUGUAGGCGGUGCUCUAAGUUCGGUGUGAAAUCUCCUGGCUUAACUGGGAGGGUGCGCCGGAAACUGGAGUGCUCGAGCGUGGGAGAGGAAAGCGGAAUUCCUGGUGUAGCGGUGAAAUGCGUAGAUAUCAGGGGGAACACCUGCGGUGUAGACGGCUUUCUGGACCAUUGCUGACGCUGAGACACGAAAGCGUGGGUAGCAAACAGGAUUAGAUACCCUGGUAGUCCACGCCCUAAACGAUGCAUACUUGGUGUCGGCCAUUCAGUUGGUCGGUGCCGGAGCUAACGCGUUAAGUAUGCCGCCUGGGGAGUACGGUCGCAAGGCUGAAACUCAAAGGAAUGACGG